rnacentral:rRNA from 1 species
GUGGGGAAUAUUGGACAAUGGGGGCAACCCUGAUCCAGCCAUGCCGCGUGUGUGAAGAAGGCCUUCGGGUUGUAAAGCACUUUUGUCCGGAACGAAAAGCGUUCGGUUAAUAACCGGGCGUCAUGACGGUACCGGAAGAAUAAGCACCGGCUAACUUCGUGCCAGCAGCCGCGGUAAUACGAAGGGUGCAAGCGUUACUCGGAAUUACUGGGCGUAAAGCGUGCGUAGGUGGUUCGUUAAGUCUGUCGUGAAAGCCCCGGGCUCAACCUGGGAAUGGCGAUGGAUACUGGCGAGCUAGAGUGCGGUAGAGGGUGGUGGAAUUCCCGGUGUAGCAGUGAAAUGCGUAGAGAUCGGGAGGAACAUUCGUGGCGAAGGCGGCCACCUGGACCAGCACUGACACUGAGGCACGAAAGCGUGGGGAGCAAACAGGAUUAGAAACCCGGGUAGUCC